rnacentral:lncRNA from 15 species
AUGUUUCACCAUUGCACACUGCACAUGCGCGAUAGGAGACAAACUGCAAACCUGGCAACCCGUUACGUGAGGCUAAGCAGCAGUACCACCUUCCUCUUCCUUUCUUUCCAGACCUUUCCAUCCUCCACGUCUCCAUGUAGCGGCACUGGCGGUCCAGCUGUUCAGUUGAUCCAGUGUGGGAAAGACCGGCCACAACAUGGCGUCCAACACCACGAAGACAGAAGCUCAGUUCAUGGGAGAAACUACAGCGGCUGCAAAACGUGCAAAAAAUGGCCUCCAUGGAAGGUGAGCUAUGGAUAUAAAUGUCUGUAGAUAUAAAUGUUUCAUAAACAUAACGAUUACUAUAUUCAGCUGAUUAUACACUAAUGAAAACAUAGUUAUGCAUAUUGCAUAUUCUGUUUUUGCCAGUAGAUCCUGUUACACACUGGACCUUUAAUUUCUUUUAAACAUUUCAGCAACGUCAAUGAAACCCUGCAAGAGUAAGACGUGGUGGUGCCACUGAAGCCAGCACCAGAAUAAGUUCUGGUUUCGUUGGUCAAAACUCGCUGUGUCUGUUUGCUUUCUGUGACAGAAACCCAUUAUGGAGAAGGGAGUUACAGUAAUUUAGGCUGUGACCCACUGCUGGCUAUUUGGAGCAAUGUGAAUUAGAGCAGGCAGAAAUGAUUGCUAUCUAUCAUGAUGCUAGACAGCUAUCAUCUUCUUUACUACUGAGGAGAGAAAAGAAGAGGAAUAAAGGGAAAUGAAAGAAGAGGGGGGGAAAGAGAUGAAGAUAAAUUUGACAAGACAGGAGAACAAGAGACAGAAAAAGAGAGCUGUGGAAAAUGGUGCAUAUAUCAGGAAAAGAGAGGGAUGAGA